UACGAAGGGGGCUAGCGUUGCUCGGAUUUACUGGGCGUAAAGGGCGCGUAGGCGGACAGUUUAGUCAGAGGUGAAAGCCCAGGGCUCAACCUUGGAAUUGCCUUUGAUACUGGCUGUCUUGAGUUCGGGAGAGGUGAGUGGAAUGCCGAGUGUAGAGGUGAAAUUCGUAGAUAUUCGGCGGAACACCAGUGGCGAAGGCGACUCACUGGCCCGAUACUGACGCUGAGGCGCGAAAGCGUGGGGAGCAAACAGG
rnacentral:rRNA from 1 species